UGCAAAGAACGCAGCUGGAACCCUGUCUCUCUCUUCCUUCUCUUGUGAAACACUAUUGCAAAAACACAACUCCCCUUCCCCUUUGGAAUUUCAAAGCUGGACGGCGAUUGUGGGCACAAAGCCGACGAAAACUACAGUGGUGAUUCCGAUGAAGGGAAGCCAUGUCUUCAUAUUGCGAAGGCUCCCAAUUUCGUGCCCCAUUAGUGCCAUCCCAACUGGAUUGGUGACUUCACCUGGACCCGAAUGUUGAUGUUGUUGUGUGGGUGGGCAUGUUGGUUUGAGGUGAAGCUCCUUUGGUGGAACUGAAUCCUUGAAUCCAAAGGGGAAAGCGACAAGGUGUUCACAUAGUUAUGGAGUAUAAGAGUGAUUCCGAAGGCACAGUUAUUUGGAUGGAGGCUACUUUUGGAUAAAUUACUAACAAAGAAUAAAUUAUCAAUGA